rnacentral:rRNA from 1 species
UACGUAGGGUGCAAGCGUUAAUCGGAAUUACUGGGCGUAAAGCGUGCGCAGGCGGCUUUGCAAGACAGAUGUGAAAUCCCCGGGCUUAACCUGGGAACUGCAUUUGUGACUGCAUGGCUGGAGUGCGGCAGAGGGGGAUGGAAUUCCGCGUGUAGCAGUGAAAUGCGUAGAUAUGCGGAGGAACACCGAUGGCGAAGGCGAUCCCCUGGGCCUGCACUGACGCUCAUGCACGAAAGGCGUGGGGAGCAAACAGG